GGGGUUGUAGCUUAAGCGGUAGAGCGUACGCUUAGCCUGCAUGAGGUCCUGGGUUCAAUCCCCAGUACCUCUU
rnacentral:tRNA from 1 species